CAAAAGCCACAAAGAUAGAUGCCUACCACUGCUGCAGUUUGUUUGGAAGUUUACAGUGAUGGAAGCAGUCCUGCUGUGGCCUUAAAGGGCAGAUGGAGUGACAGAGGGCACACACCUCAGGUCACGGCUGAUCUGGGACAUCUAGACUUCUGCCAUAUACAGCUGGUACAGUACACAGUGAAAUGAAACAGCGUUCCUCCAGGACCGUGGUGCUACAUAAAAUAACACACUGACCACAUGAGGCGACACAGAAAGUGCACAUGCAAACGUGUGCAAACAACACAAGACAGUACAGUAAGUACUAAAACAGGA
ensembl:lncRNA